GAUGAACGCUGGCGGCGUGCCUAAUACAUGCAAGUCGAGCGAACAGACGAGGAGCUUGCUCCUCUGACGUUAGCGGCGGACGGGUGAGUAACACGUGGAUAAUCUACCUAUAAGACUGGGAUAACUUCGGGAAACCGGAGCUAAUACGGGAUAAUAAAUUGAACCGCAUGGUUCAAUAGUGAAAGACGGUUUUGCUGUAACUUAUAGAUGGAUCCGCGCCGCAUUAGCUAGUCGGUAAGGUAACGGCCUACCAAGGCAACGAUGCGUAGCCGACCUCAGAGAGUGAUCGGCCACACUGGAACGGAGACACGGUCCAGACGCCUACGGGAGGCAGCAGUAGGGAAUCUUCCGCAACGGGCGAAAGCCUGACGGAGCGACUCCGCGUGAGUGAUGAAAGUCUUCGGAUCGGAAAGCUCUGUUAUUAGGGAAGAACAAAUGUUUAAGUAGCUGUGCACGUCUUGACGGUACCUAGUCAGAAAGCCACGGCUAACUACGUG
rnacentral:rRNA from 1 species